rnacentral:misc_RNA from 1 species
GAUGAAGAACGUAGCGAAAUGCGAUAAGUAAUGUGAAUUGUAGAAUUCAGUGAAUCAUCGAAUCUUUGAACGCACAUUGCGCCCCUUGGUAUUCUGAGGGGCAUGCCUGUUCGAGCGUCAUUAUAACCCCUCAAGCUCAGCUUGGUGUUGGGGCCUGCUGCACUGGCAGCCCUUAAAAUCAGUGGCGGCGCCAUCUGGCUCUAAGCGUAGUAAUUCUUCUCGCUAUGGAGUCCUGGUGGAUGCUUGCCAUCAACCCCCAAUUUUUCUAUGGUUGACCUCGGAUCAGGUAGGGAUACCCGCUGAACUUAAGCAUAUCAAUAAGCGGAGGA